rnacentral:tmRNA from 1 species
GGGAGCGACUUGGCUUCGACAGGAGUAAGUCUGCUUAGAUGGCAUGUCGCUUUGGGCAAAGCGUAAAAAGCCCAAAUAAAAUUAAACGCAAACAACGUUAAAUUCGUUCCUGCUUACGCUAAAGCUGCGUAAGUUCAGUUGAGCCUGAAAUUUAAGUCAUACUAUCUAGCUUAAUUUUCGGUCAUUUUUGAUAGUGUAGCCUUGCGUUUGACAAGCGUUGAGGUGAAAUAAAGUCUUAGCCUUGCUUUUGAGUUUUGGAAGAUGAGCGAAGUAGGGUGAAGUAGUCAUCUUUGCUAAGCAUGUAGAGGUCUUUGUGGGAUUAUUUUUGGACAGGGGUUCGAUUCCCCUCGCUUCCACCA